rnacentral:rRNA from 1 species
UACGAAGGGGGCUAGCGUUGUUCGGAAUUACUGGGCGUAAAGGGCGCGUAGGCGGUCCUUCAAGUCAGGCGUGAAAGCCCCGGGCUCAACCUGGGAACCGCGCUUGAGACUGGAGAACUAGAGUUCGGGAGAGGAUGGUGGAAUUCCCAGUGUAGAGGUGAAAUUCGUAGAUAUUGGGAAGAACACCGAUGGCGAAGGCAGCCAUCUGGACCGACACUGACGCUGAGGCGCGAAAGCGUGGGGAGCAAACAGG